GCCUACGGGGCGCAGCAGUGAGGAAUAUUGGUCAAUGGUCGGGAGACUGAACCAGCCAAGCCGCGUGAGGGAUGAAGGUACAGAGUAUCGUAAACCUCUUUUGUCAGGGAACAAAGGCGGGGACGUGUCCCCGGAUGAGUGUACCUGCAGAAAAAGCAUCGGCUAACUCCGUGCCAGCAGCCGCGGUAAUACGGAGGAUGCGAGCGUUAUCCGGAUUUAUUGGGUUUAAAGGGUGCGCAGGCGGUCUGUUAAGUCAGCGGUCAAAGCCCGGGGCUCAACCCCCGCCCCCCGUGGCAACUUGCAGU
rnacentral:rRNA from 1 species